rnacentral:rRNA from 1 species
UACGAAGGGGGCUAGCGUUGCUCGGAAUCACUGGGCGUAAAGCGCACGUAGGCGGAUUGUUAAGUCAGGGGUGAAAUCCUGGAGCUCAACUCCAGAACUGCCCUUGAUACUGGCGGUCUCGAGUCCGGGAGAGGUGAGUGGAACUGCGAGUGUAGAGGUGAAAUUCGUAGAUAUUCGCAAGAACACCAGUGGCGAAGGCGGCUCACUGGCCCGGUACUGACGCUGAGGUGCGAAAGCGUGGGGAGCAAACAGGG